CGAACCGGGGGAACUGAAACAUCUAAGUACCCCGAGGAAAAGAAAUCAACCGAGAUUCCCCCAGUAGCGGCGAGCGAACGGGGAGCAGCCCAGAGUCUGAAUCAGCUUGUGUGUUAGUGGAACGGUCUGGAAAGUCCGACGGUACAGGGUGAUAGUCCCGUACACCAAAAUGCACAGGCUGUGAACUCGAAGAGUAGGGCGGGACACGUGGUAUCCUGUCUGAAUAUGGGGGGACCAUCCUCCAAGGCUAAAUACUCCUGACUGACCGAUAGUGAACCAGUACCGUGAGGGAAAGGCGAAAAGAACCCCGGCGAGGGGAGUGAAAAAGAACCUGAAACCGUGUACGUACAAGCAGUGGGAGCACCUUCGGGUGUGACUGCGUACCUUUUGUAUAAUGGGUCAGCGACUUAUAUUCUGUAGCAAGGUUAACCGUAUAGGGGAGCCGCAGGGAAACCGAGUCUUAACUGGGCGUUAAGUUGCAGGGUAUAGACCCGAAACCCGGUGAUCUAGCCAUGGGCAGGUUGAAGGUUGGGUAACACUAACUGGAGGACCGAACCGACUAAUGUUGAAAAAUUAGCGGAUGACUUGUGGCUGGGGGUGAAAGGCCAAUCAAACCGGGAGAUAGCUGGUUCUCCCCGAAAGCUAUUUAGGUAGCGCCUCGUGAACUCAUCUUCGGGGGUAGAGCACUGUUUCGGCUAGGGGGUCAUCCCGACUUACCAACCCGAUGCAAACUACGAAUACCGAAGAAUGUUAUCACGGGAGACACACGGCGGGUGCUAACGUCCGUCGUGAAGAGGGAAACAACCCAGACCGCCAGCUAAGGUCCCAAAGUCAUGGUUAAGUGGGAAACGAUGUGGGAAGGCACAGACAGCCAGGAUGUUGGCUUAGAAGCAGCCAUCAUUUAAAGAAAGCGUAAUAGCUCACUGGUCGAGUCGGCCUGCGCGGAAGAUGUAACGGGGCUAAACCAUGCACCGAAGCUGCGGCAGCGACACUAUGUGUUGUUGGGUAGGGGAGCGUUCUGUAAGCCUGCGAAGGUGUGCUGUGAGGCAUGCUGGAGGUAUCAGAAGUGCGAAUGCUGACAUAAGUAACGAUAAAGCGGGUGAAAAGCCCGCUCGCCGGAAGACCAAGGGUUCCUGUCCAACGUUAAUCGGGGCAGGGUGAGUCGACCCCUAAGGCGAGGCCGAAAGGCGUAGUCGAUGGGAAACAGGUUAAUAUUCCUGUACUUGGUGUUACUGCGAAGGGGGGACGGAGAAGGCUAUGUUAGCCGGGCGACGGUUGUCCCGGUUUAAGCAUGUAGGCUGGUUGUCCAGGCAAAUCCGGAUAAUCAAGGCUGAGGUGUGAUGACGAGGCACUACGGUGCUGAAGUAACAAAUGCCCUGCUUCCAGGAAAAGCCUCUAAGCAUCAGGUAACAUCAAAUCGUACCCCAAACCGACACAGGUGGUCAGGUAGAGAAUACCAAGGCGCUUGAGAGAACUCGGGUGAAGGAACUAGGCAAAAUGGUGCCGUAACUUCGGGAGAAGGCACGCUGGUGUGUAGGUGAAGCCCCUGCGGGUGGAGCUGAGACCAGUCGAAGAUACCAGCUGGCUGCAACUGUUUAUUAAAAACACAGCACUGUGCAAACACGAAAGUGGACGUAUACGGUGUGACGCCUGCCCGGUGCCGGAAGGUUAAUUGAUGGGGUUAUCCGUAAGGAGAAGCUCUUGAUCGAAGCCCCGGUAAACGGCGGCCGUAACUAUAACGGUCCUAAGGUAGCGAAAUUCCUUGUCGGGUAAGUUCCGACCUGCACGAAUGGCGUAAUGAUGGCCAGGCUGUCUCCACCCGAGACUCAGUGAAAUUGAACUCGCUGUGAAGAUGCAGUGUACCCGCGGCAAGACGGAAAGACCCCGUGAACCUUUACUAUAGCUUGACACUGAACAUUGAGCCUUGAUGUGUAGGAUAGGUGGGAGGCUUUGAAGCGUGGACGCCAGUCUGCGUGGAGCCAACCUUGAAAUACCACCCUUUAAUGUUUGAUGUUCUAACGUUGGCCCCUUACCGGGGUUGCGGACAGUGUCUGGUGGGUAGUUUGACUGGGGCGGUCUCCUCCCAAAGCGUAACGGAGGAGCACGAAGGUUAGCUAAUCCUGGUCGGACAUCAGGAGGUUAGUGCAAUGGCAUAAGCUAGCUUGACUGCGAGCGUGACGGCGCGAGCAGGUGCGAAAGCAGGUCAUAGUGAUCCGGUGGUUCUGAAUGGAAGGGCCAUCGCUCAACGGAUAAAAGGUACUCCGGGGAUAACAGGCUGAUACCGCCCAAGAGUUCAUAUCGACGGCGGUGUUUGGCACCUCGAUGUCGGCUCAUCACAUCCUGGGGCUGAAGUAGGUCCCAAGGGUAUGGCUGUUCGCCAUUUAAAGUGGUACGCGAGCUGGGUUUAGAACGUCGUGAGACAGUUCGGUCCCUAUCUGCCGUGGGCGCUGGAGAAUUGAGGGGGGCUGCUCCUAGUACGAGAGGACCGGAGUGGACGCAUCACUGGUGUUCGGGUUGUCAUGCCAAUGGCACUGCCCGGUAGCUAAAUGCGGAAGAGAUAAGUGCUGAAAGCAUCUAAGCACGAAACUUGCCCCGAGAUGAGUUCU
rnacentral:rRNA from 2 species